rnacentral:rRNA from 1 species
AUUGAACGCUGGCGGCAGGCCUAACACAUGCAAGUCGAACGAGUGGCGGACGGGUGAGUAAUGUCUGGGAAACUGCCUGAUGGAUGGGGGUAACUACUGGAAACGGUAGCUAAUACCGCAUACCAUCAGAUGUGCCCAGAGGGGAUUAGCUAGUAGGUGGGGUAACGGCUCACCUAGACUACGAUCCCUAGCUGGGCUGCUAGGAUGACCAGCGACAUUGGAACUGAGACACGGUCCAGACGCCUACGGGACGCAGCAGAGUGGAAGAUUGCACAAUGGGCGCAAGCCUGAUGCAGCCAUGCCGCGUGUAUGAAGAAGGCCUUCGGGUUGUAAAGUACUUUCAGCGGGGAGGCGUUACCCGCAGAAGAAGCACCGGCUAACGCCGUGCCAGCAGCCGCGGUAAUUC